UUAAUUUGAGAGUUUGAUCCUGGCUCAGGACGAACGCUGGCGGCGUGCCUAAUACAUGCAAGUCGAACGAACUCUGGUAUUGAUUGGUGCUUGCAUCAUGAUUUACAUUUGAGUGAGUGGCGAACUGGUGAGUAACACGUGGGAAACCUGCCCAGAAGCGGGGGAUAACACCUGGAAACAGAUGCUAAUACCGCAUAACAACUUGGACCGCAUGGUCCGAGCUUGAAAGAUGGCUUCAGCUAUCACUUUUGGAUGGUCCCGCGGCGUAUUAGCUAGAUGGUGGGGUAACGGCUCACCAUGGCAAUGAUACGUAGCCGACCUGAGAGGGUAAUCGGCCACAUUGGGACUGAGACACGGCCCAAACUCCUACGGGAGGCAGCAGUAGGGAAUCUUCCACAAUGGACGAAAGUCUGAUGGAGCAACGCCGCGUGAGUGAAGAAGGGUUUCGGCUCGUAAAACUCUGUUGUUAAAGAAGAACAUAUCUGAGAGUAACUGUUCAGGUAUUGACGGUAUUUAACCAGAAAGCCACGGCUAACUACGUGCCAGCAGCCGCGGUAAUACGUAGGUGGCAAGCGUUGUCCGGAUUUAUUGGGCGUAAAGCGAGCGCAGGCGGUUUUUAAGUCUGAUGUGAAAGCCUUCGGCUCAACCGAAGAAGUGCAUCGGAAACUGGGAAACUUGAGUGCAGAAGAGGACAGUGGAACUCCAUGUGUAGCGGUGAAAUGCGUAGAUAUAUGGAAGAACACCAGUGGCGAAGGCGGCUGUCUGGUCUGUAACUGACGCUGAGGCUCGAAAGUAUGGGUAGCAAACAGGAUUAGAUACCCUGGUAGUCCAUACCGUAAACGAUGAAUGCUAAGUGUUGGAGGGUUUCCGCCCUUCAGUGCUGCAGCUAACGCAUUAAGCAUUCCGCCUGGGGAGUACGGCCGCAAGGCUGAAACUCAAAGGAAUUGACGGGGGCCCGCACAAGCGGUGGAGCAUGUGGUUUAAUUCGAAGCUACGCGAAGAACCUUACCAGGUCUUGACAUACUAUGCAAAUCUAAGAGAUUAGACGUUCCCUUCGGGGACAUGGAUACAGGUGGUGCAUGGUUGUCGUCAGCUCGUGUCGUGAGAUGUUGGGUUAAGUCCCGCAACGAGCGCAACCCUUAUUAUCAGUUGCCAGCAUUAAGUUGGGCACUCUGGUGAGACUGCCGGUGACAAACCGGAGGAAGGUGGGGAUGACGUCAAAUCAUCAUGCCCCUUAUGACCUGGGCUACACACGUGCUACAAUGGAUGGUACAACGAGUUGCGAACUCGCGAGAGUAAGCUAAUCUCUUAAAGCCAUUCUCAGUUCGGAUUGUAGGCUGCAACUCGCCUACAUGAAGUCGGAAUCGCUAGUAAUCGCGGAUCAGCAUGCCGCGGUGAAUACGUUCCCGGGCCUUGUACACACCGCCCGUCACACCAUGAGAGUUUGUAACACCCAAAGUCGGUGGGGUAACCUUUUAGGAACCAGCCGCCUAAGGUGGGACAGAUGAUUAGGGUGAAGUCGUAACAAGGUAGCCGUAGGAGAACCUGCGGCUGGAUCACCUCCUUUCUAAGGAA
rnacentral:rRNA from 2 species